GGCAACAUGGUGUAGUGGUCACCACCUCACACUUGAUCAAAGCAUGAGGUCCUUGGUUCAAAUCCAGGGUUGUCC